rnacentral:misc_RNA from 1 species
GUGAAUCAUCAAAUUUUUGAACGCAUAUUGCACUCUCUGGUAUUCCGGAGAGUAUGCCUGUUUGAGGGUAAUUAAUAACAAUCUGUAACCAAUUUUUUUGGUCAAAGGUUGUGAUUUCUCCGCGUUGAUAGCGGUAGCUUGACAUAAAUGAUCAAGUCUCAUUUUAGUCAAGACGCGUAAUAAUAUUAUUUCUCGAAAUCUUUAUUAUGUGACUAUCAAGUUUUAAGCCAUACAAAUUUUGUUUGUAUGCGAUCAAUACAAAU